AAGGAAUAUUGGACAAUGGAGGCAACUCUGAUCCAGCCAUGCCGCGUGAAGGAAUAAGGCCCUAUGGGUUGUAAACUUCUUUUAGACGGGACAAAACCCCUUUACGUGUAAAGGGUUGAUGGUACUGUCAGAAUAAGCAUCGGCUAACUUCGUGCCAGCAGCCGCGGUAAAACGAAGGAUGCAAGCGUUAUCCGGAAUUAUUGGGUUUAAAGGGUGCGUAGGCGGACUAAUAAGUUAGUGGUGAAAGACUGCAGCUUAACUGCAGAGUUGCCAUUGAUACUGUUAGUCUUGAGUACAGUUGAGGUAGGCGGAAUGUGUCAUGUAGCGGUGAAAUGCUUAGAUAUGACACAGAACACCGAUUGCGAAGGCAGCUUGCUAAGCUGUAACUGACGCUGAGGCACGAAAGCGUGGGGAGCAAACA
rnacentral:rRNA from 1 species